GCGCGAAACCUCCGCAAUGCGAGCAAUCGCGACGGGGGGGACCCCAAGUGCCACUCUUAACGGGGUGGCUUUUCUGAAGUGUAAAAAGCUUUAGGAAUAAGGGCUGGGCAAGACCGGUGCCAGCCGCCGCGGUAACACCGGCAGCUCAAGUGGUGGCCAUCUUUAUUGGGCCUAAAGCGUUCGUAGCCGGUUUGAUAAGUCUCUGGUGAAAUCCCGCAGCUUAACUGUGGGACUUGCUGGAGAUACUAUUAGACUUGAGGUCGGGAGAGGUUAGGGGUACUCCCAGGGUAGGGGUGAAAUCCUAUAAUCCUGGGAGGACCACCUGUGGCGAAGGCGCCUAACUGGAACGAACCUGACGGUGAGUAACGAAAGCCGGGGCGCGAACCGGAUUAGAUACCCGGGUAGUCUUGGCCGUAAACGAUGUGGGCUUGGUGUUGGAAUGGCCUCGAGCUGCUCCAGUGCCGAAGGGAAGCUGUUAAGUCCACCGCCUGGGAAGUACGGUCGCAAGACUGAAACUUAAAAGGAAGUUGGCGGGGAGCAC
rnacentral:rRNA from 1 species